AACGAACGCUGGCGGCAGGCCUAACACAUGCAAGUCGAACGCUCGUAGCAAUACGGGAGUGGCAGACGGGUGAGUAACACGUGGGAACCUUCCCUAUGGUUCGGAAUAGCUCAGGGAAACUUGGGGUAAUACCGGAUAAGCCCUUCGGGGGAAAGAUUUAUCGCCAUUGGAUGGGCCCGCGUCGGAUUAGCUAGUUGGUGAGGUAACGGCUCACCAAGGCAACGAUCCGUAGCUGGUCUGAGAGGAUGAUCAGCCACACUGGGACUGAGACACGGCCCAGACUCCUACGGGAGGCAGCAGUGGGGAAUAUUGGACAAUGGGCGCAAGCCUGAUCCAGCCAUGCCGCGUGAGU
rnacentral:rRNA from 1 species